ACGAAAUUUUUCCCUUUGAUUUGGUGGCUGGAAGAUUGAAGAAGGGAUUUUAUUUAUUGGUCUUUUGCAAAUAUCGCCUUUGUCUUUUGUUUUGAUAAUUUCACAAGGGUUCAAAGCAUCAUUGUCUUAUGGUUAUUUUGGAUUUUUAAACUUGUGUGAUUAUUUGUGUUUCUAGAUGUUGGUUUCAAUUAGAUGAGGCUAACAUCUCCAUCACCGAUGUAUAGAGGUAUCUUCGCCACGUUCCUCGCAGGUUCAAGACAGGUUUCAGGAAAGGUACUGAAACAGCACCAAGGAAGAAGGUUGCAGCAGCUUCUGCUUAAAAGGCAAAUUGUAAUGAUGCCCUUAAAUCAAUGGAUCAGAAACGGGUUCAUGAUUUCCUUUUAGAUAUAAGACUAAUAUAUCUGCCCUUAGCUUGAAGGAAUAAGAUGAAGGUGUCUAUAGGAAGUCCAGGAAUGGUGAGUGGGUUAAUGCUAAGGAUAUAUCAAUGUGCAUUUCCUGCUGCUUCCAUUGUAGUCAUGGUCUCUGCCUUUGAUUUCUCUUCCUACAC